rnacentral:rRNA from 1 species
AACGAACGCUGGCGGCGUGCUUAACACAUGCAAGUCGAACGCGAAAGGGACUUCGGUCCUGAGUAAAGUGGCGGCACGGGUGAGUAACGCGUAGAUAACCUGUCUUCAUGUCUGGAAUAAUACGCCGAAAGGGGUACUAAUACCGGAUAUUCUUGCUUUUCAUAAGUUAUGCAAGCAAAGGUGGCCUCUGCAUAUGCUACUGCAUGAAGAGGGGUCUGCGUACCAUUAGCUAGUAGGUGGGGUAAUGGCCUACCUAGGCGACGAUGGUUAGCGGGUCUGAGAGGAUGAUCCGCCACACUGGCACUGGAACACGGGCCAGACUCCUACGGGAGGCAGCAGUGAGGAAUAUUGCGCAAUGGGGGAAACCCUGACGCAGCGACGCCGCGUGAGUGAGGAAAGGCCUUCGGGUCGUAAAGCUCUGUCAAGAGGAAAGAAGUGUACAAUGGCUAAUACCUGUUGUAUUUGACGGUACCUCUAAAGGAAGCACCGGCUAACUCCGUGCCAGCAGCUGC